GCGGUUUGGGAUCAUUAUGCCAGCAUCCUUGAUAAAAUCGCAGUCCUCGGUCUAGGCAGGCAGCAUCAACGCAGGCUAUAACACUUCACCGAAGUAAAGUCACAUUCCUACGCCAUUAUCCUACCGCCCAAACCGAUGCUGGCCCGAUAAGCUGCGGGUCACCCCGCCACGAAGGCAAGGCUCACAAAAUAUCGAGUCUGAUCUCAAACUCUUCCCUUUCAACAAUUUCACGUACUUUUUCACUCUCUUUUCAAAGUUCUUUUCAUCUUUCCAUCACUGUACUUGUUCGCUAUCGGUCUCUCGCCAAUAUUUAGCUUUAGAUGGAAUUUACCACCCACUUAGAGCUGCAUUCCCAAACAACUCGACUCUUCGAAAGCACCUUACAUAGAAUUGGGCAUCUCAUCGCACGGGAUUCUCACCCUCUGUGACGUCCUGUUCCAAGAAACAUAGACAAGAGCCAACCCCAAGGUUACAAUCUUCAAAUUACAACUCGGACACCGAAGGCGCCAGAUUUCAAAUUUGAGCUUUUGCCGCUUCACUCGCCGCUACUAAGGCAAUCCCUGUUGGUUU
rnacentral:rRNA from 1 species